GUAGUUAACAGCCUGUGGUCUACAGGUAAUUAACAGCCUGUGGUCUACAGGUAGUUAACAGCCUGUGGUCUACAGGUAGUUAACAGCCUGUGGUCUACAGGUAGUUAACAGCCUGUGGUCUACAGGUAGUUAACUUAACUGUGGUCUACAGGUAGUUAACUUAACCAUGGUCUACAGGUAGUUAACUUAACCAUGGUCUACAGGUAGUUAACUUAACCAUGGUCUACAGGUAGUUAACUUAACCAUGGUCUACAGGUAGUUAACUUAACCAUUGUCUACAGGUAGUUAACUUAACUGUGGUCUACAGGUAAUUCACUUAACCGUGGUCUACAGGUAGUUAACAGCCUGUGGUCUACAGGUAAUUAACUUAACCGUGGUCUACAGGUAGUUAACAGCCUGUUGUCUACAGGUAGUUAACAGCCUGUGGUCUACAGGUAAUUAACUUAAUCGUGGUCUACAGGCAAUUAAC
ensembl:lncRNA